rnacentral:rRNA from 1 species
GGGUUGUGAGGUUAAGCGACUAAGCGUACACGGUGGAUGCCCUGGCAGUCAGAGGCGAUGAAGGACGUGCUAAUCUGCGAAAAGCGUCGGUAAGGUGAUAUGAACCGUUAUAACCGGCGAUGUCCGAAUGGGGAAACCCAGUGUGAUUCGUCACACUAUCGUUAACUGAAUACAUAGGUUAACGAGGCGAACCGGGGGAACUGAAACAUCUAAGUACCCCGAGGAAAAGAAAUCAACCGAGAUUCCCCCAGUAGCGGCGAGCGAACGGGGAGCAGCCCAGAGUCUGAAUCAGCUUGUGUGUUAGUGGAACGGUCUGGAAAGUCCGACGGUACAGGGUGAUAGUCCCGUACACCAAAAUGCACAGGUUGUGAACUCGAAGAGUAGGGCGGGACACGUGGUAUCCUGUCUGAAUAUGGGGGGACCAUCCUCCAAGGCUAAAUACUCCUGACUGACCGAUAGUGAACCAGUACCGUGAGGGAAAGGCGAAAAGAACCCCGGCGAGGGGAGUGAAAAAGAACCUGAAACCGUGUACGUACAAGCAGUGGGAGCACCUUCGGGUGUGACUGCGUACCUUUUGUAUAAUGGGUCAGCGACUUAUAUUCUGUAGCAAGGUUAACCGUAUAGGGGAGCCGCAGGGAAACCGAGUCUUAACUGGGCGUUAAGUUGCAGGGUAUAGACCCGAAACCCGGUGAUCUAGCCAUGGGCAGGUUGAAGGUUGGGUAACACUAACUGGAGGACCGAACCGACUAAUGUUGAAAAAUUAGCGGAUGACUUGUGGCUGGGGGUGAAAGGCCAAUCAAACCGGGAGAUAGCUGGUUCUCCCCGAAAGCUAUUUAGGUAGCGCCUCGUGAACUCAUCUUCGGGGGUAGAGCACUGUUUCGGCUAGGGGGUCAUCCCGACUUACCAACCCGAUGCAAACUACGAAUACCGAAGAAUGUUAUCACGGGAGACACACGGCGGGUGCUAACGUCCGUCGUGAAGAGGGAAACAACCCAGACCGCCAGCUAAGGUCCCAAAGUCACAGUUAAGUGGGAAACGAUGUGGGAAGGCACAGACAGCCAGGAUGUUGGCUUAGAAGCAGCCAUCAUUUAAAGAAAGCGUAAUAGCUCACUGGUCGAGUCGGCCUGCGCGGAAGAUGUAACGGGGCUAAACUGUGCACCGAAGCUGCGGCAGCGACACUAUGUGUUGUUGGGUAGGGGAGCGUUCUGUAAGCCUGCGAAGGUGGCCUGUGAGGGUUGCUGGAGGUAUCAGAAGUGCGAAUGCUGACAUAAGUAACGAUAAUGCGGGUGAAAAGCCCGCACGCCGGAAGACCAAGGGUUCCUGUCCAACGUUAAUCGGGGCAGGGUGAGUCGACCCCUAAGGCGAGGCCGAAAGGCGUAGUCGAUGGGAAACAGGUUAAUAUUCCUGUACUUGGUGUUACUGCGAAGGGGGGACGGAGAAGGCUAUGUUAGCCGGGCGACGGUUGUCCCGGUUUAAGCAUGUAGGCGGAGGUUCCAGGUAAAUCCGGUACCUUUUUAACGCUGAGGUGUGAUGACGAGGCACUACGGUGCUGAAGUAACAAAUGCCCUGCUUCCAGGAAAAGCCUCUAAGCAUCAGGUAACAUUGAAUCGUACCCCAAACCGACACAGGUGGUCAGGUAGAGAAUACCAAGGCGCUUGAGAGAACUCGGGUGAAGGAACUAGGCAAAAUGGUGCCGUAACUUCGGGAGAAGGCACGCUGAUAUGUAGGUGAAGCCCCUGCGGGUGGAGCUGAAAUCAGUCGAAGAUACCAGCUGGCUGCAACUGUUUAUUAAAAACACAGCACUGUGCAAACACGAAAGUGGACGUAUACGGUGUGACGCCUGCCCGGUGCCGGAAGGUUAAUUGAUGGGGUUAUCCGUAAGGAGAAGCUCUUGAUCGAAGCCCCGGUAAACGGCGGCCGUAACUAUAACGGUCCUAAGGUAGCGAAAUUCCUUGUCGGGUAAGUUCCGACCUGCACGAAUGGCGUAAUGAUGGCCAGGCUGUCUCCACCCGAGACUCAGUGAAAUUGAACUCGCUGUGAAGAUGCAGUGUACCCGCGGCAAGACGGAAAGACCCCGUGAACCUUUACUAUAGCUUGACACUGAACAUUGAGCCUUGAUGUGUAGGAUAGGUGGGAGGCUUUGAAGCGUGGACGCCAGUCUGCGUGGAGCCAACCUUGAAAUACCACCCUUUAAUGUUUGAUGUUCUAACGUUGGCCCCUUAUCGGGGUUGCGGACAGUGUCUGGUGGGUAGUUUGACUGGGGCGGUCUCCUCCCAAAGAGUAACGGAGGAGCACGAAGGUUAGCUAAUCCUGGUCGGACAUCAGGAGGUUAGUGCAAUGGCAUAAGCUAGCUUGACUGCGAGCGUGACGGCGCGAGCAGGUGCGAAAGCAGGUCAUAGUGAUCCGGUGGUUCUGAAUGGAAGGGCCAUCGCUCAACGGAUAAAAGGUACUCCGGGGAUAACAGGCUGAUACCGCCCAAGAGUUCAUAUCGACGGCGGUGUUUGGCACCUCGAUGUCGGCUCAUCACAUCCUGGGGCUGAAGUAGGUCCCAAGGGUAUGGCUGUUCGCCAUUUAAAGUGGUACGCGAGCUGGGUUUAGAACGUCGUGAGACAGUUCGGUCCCUAUCUGCCGUGGGCGCUGGAGAAUUGAGGGGGGCUGCUCCUAGUACGAGAGGACCGGAGUGGACGCAUCACUGGUGUUCGGGUUGUCAUGCCAAUGGCAUUGCCCGGUAGCUAAAUGCGGAAGAGAUAAGUGCUGAAAGCAUCUAAGCACGAAACUUGCCCCGAGAUGAGUUCUCCCUGACUCCUUGAGAGUCCUGAAGGAACGUUAAAGACGAUGACGUUGAUAGGUCGGGUGUGUAAGCGUAGCGAUACGUUGAGCUAACCGAUACUAAUGAACCGUGAGGCUUAACCUUACAACGCCGAAG